rnacentral:rRNA from 1 species
AACGAACGCUGGCGGCAUGCCUAACACAUGCAAGUCGAACGAGACCUUCGGGUCUAGUGGCGCACGGGUGCGUAACGCGUGGGAACCUGCCCUUAGGUUCGGAAUAACUCCCCGAAAGGGGUGCUAAUACCGGAUAAUGUCUUCGGACCAAAGAUUUAUCGCCUUUGGAUGGGCCCGCGUUGGAUUAGCUGGUUGGUAGGGUAAAAGCCUACCAAGGCGACGAUCCAUAGCUGGUCUGAGAGGAUGAUCAGCCACACUGGGACUGAGACACGGCCCAGACUCCUGCGGGAGGCAGCAGUGGGGAAUAUUGGACAAUGGGCGAAAGCCUGAUCCAGCAAUGCCGCGUGAGUGAUGAAGGCCUUAGGGUUGUAAAGCUCUUUUACCCGGGAUGAUAAUGACAGUACCGGGAGAAUAAGCUCCGGCUAACUCCGUG